CAAGAUCUAAUACAAUUUCUGCUGCUGUUGAAGUGGAGACCGAUGGGUCUGUAGAAGCUCCUGGUUAUGUUUCAGUGGAAGGAAAUGCUGCACAAACUAUUGACAAAGUUCACAAUCAGAUGCCUGAUAAGACGUACGAAUUAGUUGAAGGUAAAAAAAAACUAAAGCAUUAUGAUAAAAGUGAUGUGUCAUCUCCUAAAGUAUACAAACAAUAUUAGAUUUUACGGAACAAAAAUUAAAUUAGCAAAAAAAGAUCUUGCAAAUUUGGCACUGGGUUCUUGACCUUUAGAAUUGUACACACUAAGAUGAAUUUGCAAAUUGUAAUAAACAAUAUGAUAGAAUCAGUGAUAACUUAGGCACUUCGGCCACUGCUACAUUGAGUUAUUUAUUCUAGAGAUGUCUCUUUUAUUAGAAAUGGUAGUGUAGUUACAGACUGUUUUGAUUCAGGAAAUUUUGGCUCAUCAGAUCUGCAGUCUACUGAUCUUCCAAAAACAACACCAAAGCAUGUUAAGAAUGAUUUAGAGAAUGUUGAUGGUGAGUCAGGUACCAAGGAUAGACCAAUUAUGGAACCAAAUAAGGUGAAAAAUACAUCUAAAGGGAAGAAGAAGAGAAAAGAGAUACUUCAGAAAGCAGAUGCUGCUGGGUCAACUUCUGAUCUUUAUAAUGCAUACAAGGGACCCGGGGAAAAGAAAGAAGAUGUCUUAAGUUCUGAGAGCAAGGAAAGUGCUACUGCUUCUCUAAGUUUGAAGCAAUUUGAUGUUGGUCAGUCAGAUAUUAAAGCCAGUGAGAAAGGUGAUCAUAAUAAAGUUGAACUUGAAGAUUGGGAGGAUGUUGCCGACAUGUCUACCCCUAAACUAGAGGUUCAUGACAUAUCUCAAAAAGCAGGUGAUGGACAUGGAAGUACAACCAAAAAAUAUUCACGUGAUUUCCUUCUGAAAUUUGUAGAGCAGUUCGUUGAUCUUCCUGAAGAUUUUGAAAUCACUGCUGACAUUGGUGCUUUGAUGAAUGGCAAUAUUGGCGGCUCUCAUAUUUUUGAGCGUGAUUCACAUCCUAGUCCUGGAAGAGUUGUAGAUAGACUAGGUGGGAUGUCUCGGAUGGAUCGUCGUGGCGAUGUGGUUGUGGAGGAUGAUAGAUGGAACAAAGUUUCUGGUUCUUUUCGUGGACGUGGUCCGGAAGGCGUUGGUGGUAAUUCAGGAUUUCGAUUUGGUCAUGGAGGCAAUUUUGGUGUUUUAAGGAACCCUCGUGCACAAGCACCGCUACAAUAUGGUGGAGGGAUCCUUUCUGGGCCAAUGCAAUCUGGGGGAAAUCAGGGUGGAAGAAAUAGCCCUAACAGGGAGAGAUGGCAGCGAUCUGCUAACUUCCAGCAGAGGGGUUUAAUUCCUUCUCCCGCCCAAACUCCUUUACAAAUAAUGCACAAAGCUGAGAAUAAGUAUGAAGUGGGUAAAGUGACAGAUGUGGAAGAGGUAAAACAGAGGCAGUUGAAAGCUAUCUUGAACAAACUAACACCGCAAAAUUUUGACAAACUCUUUGAAAAGGUGAAAGAAGUUAGUAUUGACAAUGCAAUCACCCUCAUUGGUGUCAUCUCACAAAUAUUUGAGAAAGCUCUUAUGGAACCUACCUUUUGUGAAAUGUAUGCCAACUUUUGUUUACAUUUGGCUUCUGAGUUGCCUGAUUUUAGUGAGGACAAUGAAAAAAUAACUUUUAAAAGGUUAUUAUUAAACAAGUGCCAAGAGGAAUUUGAGAGGGGUGAAAGAGAAGAAGAAGAAGCAAAUAAGGCUGAUGAGGGUGAGGUUAAGCAGUCUACUGAGGAAAGGGAAGUUAGAAGAGUUAAGGCAAGAAGACGCAUGUUGGGAAACAUUAGAUUGAUUGGAGAACUAUAUAAGAAGAAAAUGUUGACAGAGAGGAUAAUGCAUGAGUGUAUCAAGAAGUUACUGGGUCAAUAUCAGGAUCCAGAUGAAGAAAACAUUGAAGCUUUAUGCAAGCUAAUGAGUACUAUUGGGGAGAUGAUUGACCAUCCAAAAGCCAAGGAACAUAUGGAUGCAUAUUUUGAAAGGAUGAAAUUAUUAUCAAUCAACAUGAAUUUAUCUUCUAGGGUGAGGUUCAUGUUGAAGGAUUCCAUUGAUUUGAGAAAGAAUAAAUGGCAACAAAGGAGGAAAGUAGAAGGUCCCAAAAAGAUUGAGGAGGUACAUAGGGAUGCUGCUCAGGAAAGGCAAUCCCAAGCUGGUGGUAGGUCAAAUCGUGGUCCUGCUAACAAUCAAUCGACAAGAAGGACUCCCAUUGAUUUUAGUCCAAGAGUAUCAUCUAUCUUGUCAUCUUCUAAUUCUCAAAUGGGUGGAUUAUGCGGUCUUCCACCUCAAUCUCGUGGGUAUGGUGGCUCUCAGGAUGCUCAAUUUGAGGAACAACAAUCUUAUGAAACUAAGACCUUGUCAGUUCCUUUGCCUCAAAGAUCUUUAGGAGAAGAUUCUAUAACCUUGGUACCUCAAGGUGGUCUUGCUAGGGGAAUGUCUAUGAGAGGAUCAACCACAAUUUCCAAUUUGCCAAUAUCUGAAGUGGUUCCUGUACCUAGAGACUCUCAUAGAAUGCCUACAGGUCUUAAUGGUCAGAGUAAUUCAUCAGAGCGCACACAAUAUAACUCAAGGGAGGAUAUUGGGUCAAGACAUGGUACUAACAAGUCUUUAGGUCCAUCUACUCAUGAUCAAUCAAUUGCUCCAGAGCAUAAUGUAAACCAUGGUAACAGAAACUUGAGGAGUGUUUCACCUGCUCCUCAAAUUGCUUAUUCAGAUAACAUUUUGUCGGAAGAAAAACUGAGGGACAUGUCCUUGUCAGCCAUAAGAGAAUACUACAGGUAUUUUUUUUUUCACUCUUUCUCUACAGUACUUUUUUCCUACUAGUUACCUUUUCUGCGGCCAGAUAUACUAGUUACAACUUACUACAUACCCAUAUAAUCUUUUAAGUAAAACCAUUUUAUAUUAGAAAUGUUCAAUUUUUCUUCGUAGGAAUCUCUUUUUGGUAUGUUUGCUUGAAUGUGUCUUUUUUUUCAAAUAAAUUAUUUUUCUGGAGACAAGAUUUUUUGUUCACAAUAUGUUUUAUUUUAAAUCAAACUCAUGUUCCCUUUUGAUGUGUGUGUAACUUUCAAAUCAUAACAUAAAAUUUAUCUUGAAAAAAAAUUAAAUUCCUUUAUUAUUGAAAAAAACUGUGAAGACGAUGUUAGAUCUAUCAGUUUUGUUAGUAAACAAGGAAACAUGUAUAAAUAUAUGGAAGUGAUAUGCAUAUAAAUGUUGCGUAUAUUGGUAUGUGCAUCAACCAUGAUACAUUACAAUACACAAAUAUCAUCAUGUUUAAAAAAUGAAGGUACGGUUGUAGGCACGCAUUAAGAAAAAAGAGGAUAUGACAAAAAUAAAAAUGCAAUGUUAUCAUACGAAUAUCAUUAUAGGUUAUGGAUAUACUGCUAGUUUUGGAGCAUAGUUGUUAAUUGCAUGUGAAAGUGUCAUAAUCGUGGUGUGUCAAAGAGGUACUUGUCGCUCUUGUGUGUGUGUAUAAUUUACUCAUAAUAGCAAUCAUCCUAUCAUACGCAUUUUGGGGUGACUACUUUCAGUUGUUAUAUGCUAUUGACUAUAUUUACUAUGUUUAAAUUAGCUAUUAAAGUAAAACAAGUAGUUAUAUGUUUAAUUUACAGAAAGAAGACUAGCUUGGAAAAUCAAUUUCAAAUGGAAGUUUACAAUUUCAUAAUAUUAUUGGUUAUUGACAUUUGUCUUUUUGGAUGGAUAGAUUGAUUAUUGAUAUUUAUCUUGAGGGGUCUUUUUUGUAGUUUGUUGUUUGAUCUUUUUCUUCUACACCUAUAUUCCAAACUACGGAGGCUGUCUCAACAGUUGGUUCAAUCCUUAUAAUGAAUAAUUCAAGAUUUUUGGUUUGUUAUAAUACUUGUUCGAACUCACUAUGAUAAGAUGUUGAAAGGAUGGAUAAGAUGCAAUCUCUGGGUAUUUAAGUGAAACAAAAUUGCAUGUUUGUGUGUAUUAUUACAACUCAGAUGUUCAGUUGAUAGUGUUUAGGUUUCUAAUAGUCUUUAGAUGCUCUAGUUUUGUGUGAAAGGCAUUUUGUCUACAUUCAGAUGGAGGCAUCUUUGAGUUUAUCAUAAAAGUGUAUAUAAAUGUGUUAAAAUAUAAAUAUGGCAGUUGGAGUGGUGUUGAAAUAUUGUCCUAUAUUUUUGUUGGAUUCAGAAAGGAGAUUAUGUGAAGUUUCUUUUGCUGCUACAUCAAAUUCAGGAAUCUGUUUUUUGUUAAACUUUGUCAUUAUGAAUUUUUAUUCUGUGUGUAUUGGAUCCCAUUAGCCUAAUUAAAUUUACAUAUAUGUUAUAAUUUUUUUUCUUCUUUUUUUGAAUUUAUACUGGUGAAUUUAAUUCCCACUGUUCUCGUCAUUUAAUCAUCUUACUAAAAUUAAUGCAAUUUUCAGUGCUAGAGAUGAGAAUGAAAUUGCUUUGUGUAUCAAAGAUUUGAACUCCCCAAGCUUCUAUGCUUCUAUGGUUUCUCUCUGGGUCACAGAUUCAUUUGAGAGAAAGGACACAGAAAGAGAUCUUUUGGCCAAACUACUUAUCAACCUUGUGAAAUCUCAACAUCAUACAUUGAGUCAAGUCCAACUCAUCAAAGGGUAAGAUUGAUUUAACCAUAGUAGGGAAAAUUGAUUUAUUGUGAACACAACUAUCAAGUGAUUCCUUUGUAUGUAUGUUGGCUAGGUUCGAAUCUGUUCUCUGUACAUUGGAGGAUGUCGUUAAUGAUGCCCCUAGAGCACCAGAGUUUCUUGGCCGAAUUUUUGCUCAAGCCAUAAUAGAGAGAGUAGCUACUUUGAAUGAGAUUGCACAAUUAAUACAUGAUGGUGGAGAAGAGCCAGGUAGUCUCUUAGAAAUUGGACUUGCAGGUGAUGUUCUUGGAAGCACAUUGGAGGUAAUUCAAAAUGAAAAGGGAGACAUGGUUCUAAAUGAGAUCCUUUCAAAAAGCUCUAAUUUCCCAUUGAAAACUUUCCAACCACCUGAUGCUAAAAUAUCAAGGAAGUUGGAAAAAUUUAUUUAGAUAGCAGUGAUGCUCGUUGAAUGUCUCUUUUUGUAGAAGGCAAAAUUCUUUUACUAGAGUUUUUAUAUGGGAUUCUUUGUUCUUUUGUUCUUUUUCCAUCAUCUUUACUGCAAUUGUAAGAGGUUCAUUUCAGCAUAAGUAAUUCUAGGUAUAGUUAUUAUGUUUUUUGAUGAGGACCUUUUCAAACACUUUACAUGUUUCUUUAUAUAUAUAAAAGGUUCAAUGAGCAUCAAGAAUCUUUUUUUCACAUCAUUCAUGGUUGUAUUUCAUUAAUGUUUUAGAUAUUGAAAAACUUUAUAAUUUUACUUGGUAAUUAUAUUUGUUAUGAUCCAAAAAGUUUAUCUGGAGUUAGCCCACAACCCAACUUAAAAUGUUAAAAUUAUUCUGUUUUUUAUUGAUAUUUUUUCCAUUUCAAAAAUAUCUUUUGAUUCUAUAAUCUGUAAUAUGUUUCUUAUAAAAAAUGCACAUAAAUUCUACAAUUUAAAAUGUAUUUUUUAUUUUCUUAAAAAUAUUACAUUCUGGAUUCUAUAGGUAUUUCACAAAAUGGAGUUUUUAGUGUCACUAGUUUUUUCUUAAAAUCAUAUGAAUUAAUGUUGUGCUAUCAACAACACUCCAAUGGUAGUAGCUUUUCCUUUUCUGUUUUAAUCUCUUUUUCCUUCUCAAAUUCAUCCCAAAAUGAAUUUAUUUUCCACUUUUGACAUGAGAAUGCUUAUUUUUAUUAAUCUAUAACAAUUAAAAUUAAUAAUGAGAUGAAUGAUUGUAAUUGUUUAUUGGUGUACACAUUUUUAUACUUAUUUUACCCUUCCGCUUAUAUUUAUUGGCUAACCUUUUAAUUUUCAUCAUCUACCAAAACUAUCCAUAAUGAACAAUAAAUAUUAAAAUUAUUUUUAUUGUAUAAUUUUAACAAUUAAUAAAAGAUAAAUUGCUUUUAUAAUUAUUUUUUACAUAUUUUAUUACAAUAGUCAUUUCAAAAUCUUUACUUGUAUUCACUAUCUUUUUAUUGUUAUAAAAAACCACCUAUGAGCAGUAAAAAAGAAAAUAAAUAAAAGUUUGCUCAAAAACAUUUGCAAGCAUUCAAUCUUGAUGUUAUAGAAAAAGUAUAAAUAAUAUGAUUUUAUUCAUUUAAUUUUUAUGUUUUAUAUAAAAGAAAGAAAUUUUUAAAUUAUUCCUUUUUUUUAAGAUGGGGUUCAAGUUUGGAAAGAAAGGGAUAUUUUAAAACAAAAGGGUUGAAUUAAUUAAAAUAUUUAUAUUUAAAUCUAUAAAUAUAAACAUUUUUAAGAUUUGAGUACAAAGGAGUUACGGGUUAAUUAAAGUCAUGAAUAACUUUGGCAAAAACAAGUAGAUACAAAAAUUAGUGUUGCCUUGAAGAUCUAACACUUAAGCAAUGAAUUAAUCUCUGGAAUAAAUAAAAUUAUAUAUCACAUUACCCUUUUGCAUAUCACAUCACCUUAUUGAAAAUAAAUUAAUUAAAGAUAUGAAUGCAAGAUAAGUGUAUUAAAAUAUUAAACACAAAAAAAAAAUCAUUAGAACAUAAUGGAAUCAUAUAAAGGACAAGAUGCACUUUUUCUUAUAAAAUGGCCCUUUCAUUGUAGUCACAUUGAAAGAUUCACAUAUAUUUUCUAUUUUUAAAAAUGUUUGAAUUUUUUUUCCACGGAUUUUCUAAAAUGAGAAGAUUAGAAAUCACAAUAAAAAAAAACAUCAAAAUCAUGAAUUAAAAAUUAAAAAAAAGGUACAAUUUAAUCAUAUAUUUUUAGUGUGACUUAUCAAGUUAACAUAAUCAAAAUAAGGAUGAAAUGAACUAUAACUUUUUGUCAAAAUUCAACAAAAAGAUUAUUACUACUCAAAAGUAAAAUCUAAACAUAUUUGUGAGAAAAAUAUGUUUAAUUAAGACUUUAUGAAAUUGAGAAACAUAUUAAAAAAUUAACCAUUCUUGAAAAAACAAGAAUAGAUCACUACAAGAAAAUCAUCAAAUAGAAAUCCAAAUUUCUAAAUUAGUAUCUAAGGUUUUAACUACCAAUUAUUUAAUUUUUAAAUUUGGUAGCAAAAAUUUUGGUUGUUAAUUAGAUACCAAUUUAGAAACUAUUUAACAAUAAUAGAAACUAAUUUAAAAAUAAAAAAUUUAUUUAGUCUCUAAAAUGGUCUCUAAUUUAAUUAUUUGUUGUCUAUAAAAUUGGUUUUUAUUUUAUAAUUUUCUUGUAGUGGAUGGAGUAGUAGAUAAAGUAGAUGAAACUAAGAAAAAAUAAAGAGAAAGAAAAAGUUUUGAAGAUGUUCAAAAGGGAGAGGUACCUUUUGGUGAUCUUUCUCUUAUUUCUUCCCUUUUUCUGUGUUUGUGUUGAUGGUAAGCACUUUGUGCUGGUGCAUGGAGCUCUUCAUGGUGCAUGGUGCUGGUAAAAGGUGGCUGAUCAGCUGAAAUUAGAGGGUCACAGUGUCACAACUCUAGACAUGGCUGCAUGUGGUGUCAAUCCAAAACAGAUUGAAGAAGUUGAUUCAGUUUCGGAGUACCAUAAGCCUUUGAUCACAUUCUUGGCCUCUCUUCCUCCACAGGAAAAGGUGAUUCUUGUUGGUCACAGUCUUGGAGGGCUAUCAGUA
rnacentral:lncRNA from 1 species